UACGUAGGCAGCAAGCGUUGUUCGGAGUUACUGGGCGUAAAGGGUGUGUAGGCGGUUGCUUAAGUUUGGUGUGAAAUCUCCCGGCUCAACUGGGAGGGUGCGCCGAAUACUGAGUGGCUCGAGUGCGGGAGAGGAAAGUGGAAUUCCUGGUGUAGCGGUGAAAUGCGUAGAUAUCAGGAGGAACACCGGUGGUGUAGACGGCUUUCUGGACCGUAACUGACGCUGAGACACGAAAGCGUGGGUAGCAAACAGG
rnacentral:rRNA from 1 species